GCCCGCUUGGCUUAGUGGUAUAGCGUUGCACUUGUAAGAAACAUUUGCGAAAUGCAAAAGUCGGCGGUUCAAUUCCGCCAGUGGGCA